rnacentral:rRNA from 1 species
GAUGAACGCUGGCGGCGUGCCUAAUACAUGCAAGUCGAGCGAACAGACGAGGAGCUUGCUCCUCUGACGUUAGCGGCGGACGGGUGAGUAACACGUGGAUAACCUACCUAUAAGACUGGGAUAACUACGGGAAACCGGAGCUAAUACCGGAUAAUAUAUUGAACCGCAUGGUUCAAUAGUGAAAGACGGUUUUGCUGUCACUUAUAGAUGGAUCCGCGCCGCAUUAGCUAGUUGGUAAGGUAACGGCUUACCAAGGCAACGAUGCGUAGCCGACCGGAGAGGGUGAUCGGCCACACUGGAACUGAGACACGGUCCAGACUCCUACGGGAGGCAGCAGUAGGGAAUCUUCCGCAAUGGGCGAAAGCCUGACGGAGCAACGCCGCGUGAGUGAUGAAGGUCUUCGGAUCGUAAAACUCUGUUAUUAGGGAAGAACAAAUGUGUAAGUAACUAUGCACGUCUUGACGGUACCUAAUCAGAAAGCCACGGCUAACUACGUG